AAAAUGGAAACUUCUUAUCCAAAAGUUCAGGCUGAAGUCUAAAAUAAAGAAGAAAGAGCUUUUGUCUUUGCAAAAUUCACAGUCCCUUCAACCAUGACGAUAGCUUUGUCGCCUGCAACUCCAGUACGUUUGCUAUGCCAACAGCAACUCACCCGCAAACCUGUCCUCUUUUGCUUUCAAGAUAAAUUUCCUACUUCUGGUAAUGUGGUAUGUUGGUCGGCGUCUGCGAAUUACUCGAGCCUAUGGGUUGGAGCAAGGAGAUUGCAGCCUCUUGUUAAACCAUCUUGGGGAAAGAGAAGUGGAAUUGUGAGGUGUGCAACAAUUGAAGAAAUAGAAGCUGAAAAAUCUUCGAUUGAGAAAGAUGUGAAAGAAAGGAUGGAAAAGACAGUUGAAACUGUUAGGUCAAAUUUCAACUCUAUAAGGACAGGAAGAGCUAGCCCAGCAAUGCUAGAUAAAAUUGAGGUUGAUUAUUAUGGCACUCCAGUCAGCUUGAAAAGCAUAGCACAAAUUAGCACUCCUGAUGCAAGUUCUAUCUUGGUGCAGCCGUAUGACAAAUCCAGUUUAAAGGCUAUAGAGAAGGCUAUUGUCAGCUCCGAUGUUGGUAUGACGCCAAAUAAUGAUGGAGAAGUAAUACGAUUGGCUGUACCCCAGUUGACAUCAGACAGGAGGAAGAGGACUGACAAACUCGAUUUCUUAUCUCAAGUACACGUGACGUUUUCCUAUUCAAGCUACGUGACAGGAAUUAUCCAAAAUUGUUUCUAAACAAGCCGAGGAAGGAAAGGUAGCUAUAAGGAAUAUAAGAAGAGAUGCCUUAAAAGCUUAUGAAAAACUUGAGAAGGAGAAAAAGCUUUCUGAAGACAAUGUGAAGGACCUAUCUAGUGAUUUACAGAAAGUGACAGAUGAAUACAUGAAGAAGAUUGAUAUUGUCUUCAAGCAGAAGGAGAAGGAACUGCUGAAAGUUUGACAACAGUUCUGUUCAAUGUGUAUAUGGAGUUUGUGCAGUAAUGAAGCUUUUCUUGGAAGGUUUAUGUGGUGCAAUAGGCUUGUCACAUACCUUUGUAAAAAAAACUACGUUUAAUUUUCAGUUGUAAAGAUCACUCAGGAACUGGAAUGGUCCCUGUUAAUUUUGUUAGGAAUUUCUUUUUUACACCCAAAAGAAGUUAAAUCUGCUUGUAGCGACAUAAUUUGCACUGCUUGAGGCUGCUGGAUUUUGUAACUACAGGAUUCAGAAUGAAAUCGUACUUGCUGAUGGUAGAAUAUCUACUUUCACUGCUCUUCUUUUGUA